GAACGGAACAGCUGUUUUUUUUCCCUCCCCUUUCGUCCUUUUUUGUUGUUGUUGUUAACAUUGGAAAGUUUUCCUUUGUUUUUAAAAGGGAGAAACUGGAGAAAUCAUCAUUUGUACAGAUUCCUAAGGCAGAAUUGCUCAUGAAUAUCACAGUGUUCAUCAACCCUUUCACACAUGUGGGUCAUCACUGUCUUGCAUACCAGUCCAGGAACCAGCGAUUAUAACCAAGUCAACAAGGCUUCUGCAACUAUAGGAGAAGAACCCAGAGAAGAAAAUAAAUAACACACUUCAGUGGACAAUGUGUACUCUACAGAGAUCUGACCUUACAGUAAAUUGUUCCUGGC